rnacentral:ncRNA from 1 species
GCGGGAUGCGUCCCGUUGAAAGGAAUGUAGCUCUGUAACAGAGCCGAACCUUAGG